AGAGUUUGAUCCUGGCUCAGGAUGAACGCUAGCUACAGGCUUAACACAUGCAAGUCGAGGGGCAUCAGUUUGGUUUGCUUGCAAACCAAAGCUGGCGACCGGCGCACGGGUGAGUAACACGUAUCCAACCUGCCUCAUACUCGGGGAUAGCCUUUCGAAAGAAAGAUUAAUAUCCGAUAGCAUAUAUUUCCCGCAUGGGUUUUAUAUUAAAGAAAUUCGGUAUGAGAUGGGGAUGCGUUCCAUUAGUUUGUUGGCGGGGUAACGGCCACCAAGACUACGAUGGAUAGGGGUUCUGAGAGGAAGGUCCCCACAUUGGAACUGAGACACGGUCCAAAAUCCUACGGAGGCA
rnacentral:rRNA from 1 species